rnacentral:lncRNA from 1 species
ACAUCAGUGCACACAUGCUUGAAUUUGUUGGCAAGCGGAGAAAUGAGAGAUGUUUAGAAGGGUUUAGAGGAGAAUGGGAUAACUGUAUCGACAAGUCAUUCCUCAUAAUCCUCAAAGGAGAUGUCAUAUGAGAAUGUUAGGGUGAACACAAGAUACACAAAAGGGUGCCCCAACUUGAUGUUAUGGAAAAUGAGCUGGGGUUUGGAUUCAUGAAAGUUAGGGUGAGAAAAUUUCAAAUGAGAUUUGCAAAGCUGCCCCAGUCUUGAGGUUAUGGAUUGAUGAAAAACUUGUGUGAGACUCACAAAGCCGCCCAAUUUUUUGUUUGCCUUUUUUUCUUUGUUUAUUAUGGUAUGGGUUGAUGAUAAACUCGGGUGAGACUCACAAAGUUGUCCCGGUUUUUUUUUUGGGCAAGGGGUUCCAUUUGGAAGAGGUAUUGGACAUGAAAAGGAUGGGCUAAAAGGAUGGCCCCAAAUUAGUUUGAUUUUUCUUUUGCAUGCUUCUGGUUAGAUGGCAGGGUGAUCCCCUAUUCCCGAGACAUUACUUUUUCUUUUUUUUGCUUUUUUCUUCUCUUCUCUUUUCUUUUCGACACAUUGAAAAUCAUUUCCCCUUAUCGCAAAAUUAAGCUUCAUGAAAACUUUAACAAACAUUAUCCAAUCUGUGUGGACUUUAUUAGGCUUGUAACGUGGAUAGGGGCUAAAAGGUAUUAGAAGAAAAGGUAUAAAGGCCCAAAUGAAUGUUUGUUGGUUAUUAUUUUUUGAAACAAGGGUUAUCAUCUAGGCAUUGCAUCAACUAUUUGACUUUUUGAGCACUUUGUUUUUUCCUUGAACUUCGUUUUUCAUUCUUUUUGCUCAACAUCACUUUGUGAUUUUUUGUUCUUUUUGUUUUUGUUUUCGGUUUUUUGUUUUUUUUUGUUCACUCUUCUUGAUGAAUUUUCUUUGUUUGAUCAUUGAGC